UACGGGGGGGGCAAGCGUUGUCCGGAAUUACUGGGCGUAAAGGGCUCGUAGGUGGCCAACUAAGUCGGACGUGAAAUCCCUCGGCUUAACCGGGGAACUGCGUCUGAUACUGGAUGGCUUGAGUUCGGGAGAGGGAUGCGGAAUUCCAGGUGUAGCGGUGAAAUGCGUAGAUAUCUGGAGGAACACCGGUGGCGAAGGCGGCAUCCUGGACCGACACUGACGCUGAGGAGCGAAAGCCAGGGGAGCAAACGGG
rnacentral:rRNA from 1 species